GCCAAUAAAAACAACACACACAUACACACAAAGUAGAUGCAUGUGCACGCGAACAUACAGUCAGUAGAGACAACUCACUAAUUAGGACUUUAAGAAUAAAACAAAUGAAACACACACUUAACUCAGACAAAAGUUUGUCUCACGUUAUAGCCAUAUAGCGUUUACUUACACCGUAUUUUGCAGGUAUUCGGAUUCAUAUACUUCCCCAUGCUACCACUCUCCAAUGCAUCAGUCAUUGGCCUCUGAGCAGUUACAGUAGCUGGGAGCUGGAGGUUCAAGUGUGUGACAGUUGCUGUGGAAGAGACCCUGGCUCCUGUAAAGAUGGCUGACGUGGUGCAGCCAGACCCCAACAGCCUGCAGAUACCUGGUGAUCAUUUAUCAGCCCCUUCGUCACCUGACUAGGAAAUGACUGCAGC